rnacentral:lncRNA from 1 species
AAAAUGGUAAUGGGGAAAUUCAAGGAAAGAGUCAUGAAACGAGAGACGUCGAGGGUUUUAUCUAUGGCUGCUGCUCUGUCGCAGGGAAGAGCAUUUUCUCAUUUCACAAUAAAAGCCAAAGACGAGAGAGAAAGAGACGGGCUGUGGGUCUGAAAUCCGAAUAGAAGAGACGACUGUUUGGAAAGGAAGAAGCUUUAUGUAGGGAAAUGAGAGCAUAUGCUCUAGGGUAAAU